CCUACGGGAGGCAGCAGUGGGGAAUAUUGCACAAUGGGGGAAACUCUGAUGCAGCGACGCCGCGUGAGUGAAGAAGUAAUUCGUUAUGUAAAGCUCUAUCAGUAGGGAAGUAAAUGACGGUACCUGAGCAUGAAGCCCCGGCUAACUACGUUCCAGCAGCCGCGGUAAUACGUAGGGGGCAAGCGUUAUCCGGAUUUACUGGGUGUAAAGGGAGCGUAGACGGCAGUGCAAGUCUGGAGUGAAAGGCGGGGGCUCAACCCCCGGACUGCAGUGGAAACUGUACGGCUGGAGUGCAGGAGAGGUAAGUGGAAUUCCUAGUGUAGCGGUGAAAUGCGUAGAUAUUAGGAGGAACCCCGGUGGCGAAGGCAGCUUACUAGACUGUAACUGACGUUGAGGCUCGAAAGCGUGGGGAGCAAACAGGAUUAGAUACCCCAGUAGUC
rnacentral:rRNA from 1 species